GAACCUAAAUGUUUCCUCUUGCUCACUACCAAACUCGGUGAUGAGCAGCCUCUUUCAGGGAACAGAUCAGCUUUUUCUGACAGACAGUAAAUGAGAUGAACUAGCAAAGACACAGGAGUAAGGAGUUUUUCCUAAAGAGAGAACAAGAAUGGGGAAGAAACGAGGGAAGCAAAGGGCAAAUGUCUGUCUCCCCCAGGGUACAAGCUUCACAAGAAGGAGGUGUAAUAUCAGCAACACAGAGAGCCAGCUAAGGCUCAUCCAGUCAUGCAACAAAUACCUCCUGAGCAUCUACUAUGCAGUGAGCACUAUUCUGUGCCAAGGACACAACACUGAACAAGAUGAGUGAGCUUUCUGCUGUCCAGCUCACCUUCUAGAGGGGGAAGGAGUUUUGCCACAGCCAUGGCCCUGUGCUUGCCAGACCGUUUGCAGCUCACGGCCCAUUCACAUAACAGCGUCACCACAGCUUCAUCGUUGGGCGCAACCUAAUGACCAACAGAGAGGGGUACCAGCCACAUCAAAUGAAACAUUCACCCAGCAAGAGGCAGGAAGCAAGCAAGGGAAUAUCUAACACUUUAAAGCUUUUUUCCAUGUUUUAUUAUAGUAGCUUUAGAAAGCGCUUCCAAAACAUUUUUAAUUGAAAUACAAAAAAUAAACCUAUACAAGGAAAG
rnacentral:lncRNA from 1 species